UCUGUGGAUUAAAGGUGGCUUUCGGGCUGUCGCAGAUGGAUGAGCCUGCGUUGGAUUAGCUAGUUGGUGGGGUAAGGGCCCACCAAGGCUACGAUCCAUAGCUGAUUUGAGAGGAUGAUCAGCCACAUUGGGACUGAGACACGGCCCAAACUCCUACGGGAGGCAGCAGUGGGGAAUAUUGGACAAUGGGGGCAACCCUGAUCCAGCAAUGCCAUGUGUGUGAAGAAGGCCCUAGGGUUGUAAAGCACUUUAGUUGGGGAGGAAAGCCUCAAGGUUAAUAGCCUUGGGGGAGGACGUUACCCAAAGAAUAAGCACCGGCUAACUCCGUGCCAGCAGCCGCGGUAAUACGGGGGGUGCAAGCGUUAAUCGGAAUUACUGGGCGUAAAGGGUCUGUAGGUGGUUUGUUAAGUCAGAUGUGAAAGCCCAGGGCUCAACCUUGGAACUGCAUUUGAUACUGGCAAACUAGAGUACGGUAGAGGAAUGGGGAAUUUCUGGUGUAGCGGUGAAAUGCGUAGAGAUCAGAAGGAACACCAAUGGCGAAGGCAACAUUCUGGACCGAUACUGACACUGAGGGACGAAAGCGUGGGGAUCAAACAGGAUUAGAUACCCUGGUAGUCCACGCUGUAAACGAUGAGUACUAGCUGUUGGAGUCGGUGUAAAGGCUCUAGUGGCGCAGCUAACGCGAUAAGUACUCCGCCUGGGGACUACGGCCGCAAGGCUAAAACUCAAAGGAAUUGACGGGGACCCGCACAAGCGGUGGAGCAUGUGGUUUAAUUCGAUGCAACGCGAAGAACCUUACCUGGUCUUGACAUCCUGCGAACUUUCUAGAGAUAGAUUGGUGCCUUCGGGAACGCAGUGACAGGUGCUGCACGGCUGUCGUCAGCUCGUGUUGUGAAAUGUUGGGUUAAGUCCCGCAACGAGCGCAACCCCUAUUGAUAGUUACCAUCAUUAAGUUGGGUACUCUAUUGAGACUGCCGCUGACAAGGCGGAGGAAGGUGGGGACGACGUCAAGUCAUCAUGGCCCUUACGACCAGGGCUACACACGUGCUACAAUGGGUAUUACAGAG
rnacentral:rRNA from 1 species